AAUCCAUGAUGUCGGCACCUCCUUAUCAUUAUCUUGAAAUGCUCUCAUGUCUCGUAUAGGGAUUCACCUUCAAAUUGUUCAAAAUUGGUGUUUUCUUGCUUCAACU
rfam:Gossypium arboreum cultivar AKA8401 contig_41404_1, whole genome shotgun sequence.